CUUUAAAUUAUAUCCUUUUCCCACAAUACAGGUAGUGCUCCACUUUAUCUCCUUAUAACCAAGGUUUCACUUUUGAGCUUGCAGUACGAUUUGAGAUGGCCACGUAAUGUCAACAUACAUGCAAUAGUGUAUCCGAAAAAUUAACAGUUAUCUAUACAAUUCAUAGAUUUGUUUGUUAGUCUUGCAAACUGCAUUUAUCUGCUUUAUGAGAUAUUUACAGAGAAAAUCUCUCUCUUAUUAGGACUUGAGGGGAAGAAGACAGCUAGUGGGGUAGAGGUGAGGUAGAGGCUGCAGCAACCAGGACCCAGUGCCUCAGUGCUGUGACAAGUCAAGCAGGGCUGGCCAUGGCCAGGGUCAACUCCCUUUCCCUCUAACAUCUGAGACCACCCAGCAAGUCUAUGGGAUGAGACAUGUUUAAAGCUGAGAGAAGGGAAACCGAUGUGCAGAGCAGGAAAAGUCCAGUGGCUGCAGGGUACCAAGGGGACAAUGCUGGAGCACAGAUGAGGCUACCUACCGUAAUGGCCCGGACUACAAGGUCUGUCAGACCUGAGCCUGCUAGGGCAGAGCUCAGGCAGGGGCUGAGGGCCUGGAACAGAGCUUAAACGGGCUACUGAGCCCGUAGUGGGGUGGCAGGUAGGCUGGUCAGGGUUAUUAGUACCCACAGGGCCCUGACAAAAUGCUUUUAGAAGGCACUUCCUUUUUAACUGAGGUACAAGAACUCAACAUACAUGCUUAUAGGCCAGUUACUUGGAAAAAAUGCAAACCAGCAAAACUGCACCAACCCCGUGACAAACAAAAACAUUUUUAGAAAAAGCCUUUCACUUUAAGACUUCAUGUUUACUUUCAUAAACCUGUCCCACAAUGCCAGAGCUGCAUCAAUUUGCCCUGAUGAGUGUGGAUUUUCCAGAGAGCUUGUGCUCAUGACUGGAGUCCUCUUCUCCUUUUCUAAAGUAGCUGUAUCACCUAAUAGAUGGAAGGGACUCCAAACUUCUAUACUCACCUUUGAUUUCCAGUUUCUUCACUGAAGUCUCUCCAUUCUAAGUGGUCCCCUAACCCUAUUGUGAUGUCAGAUUACCAAGCUGAAGAGCGGGAGCCAGGUUUGUCUCUCAGUCUAACUGUGAUUCAGUAUAAAUAAGUGGCAGAAGCACCUAUGUCCUUGCCAAUUGGAUGUCGUACUGGUACGUUCCUCUUUCCUGGCACAGCUUUCCUUUGUGGCUACAUUAAUCGUUAAUUAAGUAGAGUCAAGGGAAUGUUUGGCCACAUUAGAUAACAUCCUGAAGUACACUGACAAGUUUCCACUGUUUCUGUGGAAACUGAGAGUUCACUGCUCACUUCCUGUUUAUUCUGUCUAGUAAAUAGUAAAGGACAGGUAAGAAGGGAGACUAAAGGGUUCACUUAAGGACACAAAGGAAUCACUUGGCCCAUUUACCUUAAAGCACAGGCAAGGAAAAAUAAAAGCAUCAAUAACCCCCACCCACACCACCACCUUAAGGCCCUUUUUUCUCUAGUUCCCCCUUUUCUCAGUCCAAAGAGUCACCAAAUUUAGAAAAGCUUUAAAUUUUAAAUGGUGUAUGAUCAUCACUUGGUGUUCUUAGAACCCUAUACCCCUCAUGGUGCAAGCCAAGGUUGGAGGUUCAGUGUAAGCCCAGAAGUGAAUUGUGUCCAUGGUCUAUGUAUGCCCCCCAUUACCUCUCCUUCCCAUAAAUAUAUAUGGGGCAGGUGGGGGCGGGUGAAGGGGGGGGGGAACCAGUAAAAACUCACCAAAAACUCACAGCAGAUUUUGAAGAUCAAGUCUCCUCAGCAGUUACAAAUGUACACUUGUGGAGGCUGGUAGGUGGAAUAAAAACUAUAAAAAACUAUUCCCUCUCCCUCCCCCACUUGUUUAAAGAAUUAAAACAAUUGGCCUGCUAAACAAUGCAGACAGGACUAGUUGGACUUUCAAGUAUGCUGUACUUGAAUGCAAGCAAAGAAUGUCUUGUAAUCCAAAAGAAACUUGCUUGGUGGGUUUUUUUGAAACCUUCACCUUCUGCAUCACCUAGUUGUCCCUUCUCUUGCCUUCCAUGUUUUUGUCUGUUUGCCCCAUGAGAGAGUAUGACAUUACCUUCAACAAGACAAGACAUAUAUUUAUUGUGUUCACAUCUGGUUCAAUUUUAUAGUUUUGUAUUAUUACAAGAAAUGGUAACCAUUUACUACAACUAUCUUCCAGUGUUUCCAAGUAUUCUAGGGUGUUCCUUUGUGUUCACAAAUUUUAUUUUGUAUUUUAUUAAGACAGUGGUAAUCAUUAACAAACUGUAUGUAAAAACUUUAGUUAGUUGGUUGUUUGCUGUUUUUAUUCAGCAGAAUUUGAUAGACUUUUCUCUAUAUCUAUGCUAGAACAAAUCUGUUUCCUGACCCUUGUUUGCUUUUGCUUUAUACUCAGUUACAUCAUGCUUACAAACCAAAAACGUGUAUCAUCUGAAGCAAGUAAUCAUUUCCAACACCAAAUGAUUCUUCCAACACAGUCUAUUCUUCCUUUUACCUGAUUUCUGGCAGAAAGAAUAUGGCUACAGACAAAGUCCAGAAAUACAAAGGAUACUUCCUCCAGUUCACUACUAUCUGCACUUUCUUAUGGACCACUGUAUUUUAGCUGAUGCAAAAUGGGUGUUUCUAUCCUUCCUAAUAUAAUUAUAUGAGAUGCUCUUACAUCUGGGGUCUACUGAGACCUGUAAAUGCUCUCUAAGAUAUGGUGUAUUUUCUGAAUUUGACAGAAAAAUCCCCAGAGUAAUGGAUCACAGCUAUGGAAAUACCACAAUCAACCAUUAAUUAUUUCCAAAGGAAAACUAAUGCUGUGCGCUGGUUCCCUCCCUUGCACACCUGGCACAGCAUCCAGAGUAGGAAAAAAAAGUUAUUUAAUAUUUCUUUUUUUUCUCUCUCUCCCAGGUUACAAGACAAGAUGCUUGGAUAUAAUGAGCAUUUAAUGAGCUCUUCCGUACUUAUCUUUGGAUGUUGUAUGACAAAAGCACGUUACCUUAUAGUGAAACACAGCAAUGCAGAAGGUAGUUCUCUCUCCCCCCUGCAAUUUGAUUCCAUGACAGUGUCAACCUGGGAUAUUAUGAUUGUUGGAUUUCCUUCCUAACAAGCUCACUUUGUUUAUUUUCUAUCUUGCUACCUAUGGAAAGGAGAAGAAUUCCAGUCAAUUUUCCCAUUUUAAUGGAUGCAAUUAGUAAAAAGAACCAUUUUUUGAUAGCUAUGAGAGACACUUACGAAUGUUUCCUUUAUAAAAUAUUUAUGAUGAAACACUGGACAUAACCCUGAGGGAAAAUUAUAUAGAUCCAACUCAUUUCCAAGACUACCAAGUAAUAAAAAAGUCUUUCAACACUCUUCCUGUUUCUCGUGAAUAACAGGAAAAGGAGUCUACUUCAGGAACAGGAUAUAUGCUUUCCUGUUCAGCUGCAGAAGUAACUUUUUUUAUAUUUUUGCUUGUUUUGCUCUCAUCUUCACAUGUAAUAUUUCUCUCAGACAACUGAUCAUGAAAUUAUGUUUCUGCAGAAAUUAAAGGGCCUUCAUAAUAAAGGGCCUAAAUAAGAAAUGAAAUCACAGAAUGGUUUUAGUUGGAUCACAUAGUCCAACUCCCCUGCCAUAAGCAGGGACAUCUUCAACCAAGUUGCUCAGAGCCCAGUCUUCCCUGACCUUGAACACUUUCAGGGAUGAGGUAUCCACCACCACUCUGGCCAACCCAGUGUUUCAUUACCCUCACUGCAAAAAAUUUCUUCCCUAUAUCUAGUCUGAAUCAACCUUCUUUUAGUUUUAAACUAUAAUUCCUUCUCCUAUCACUACAGGCCCUACUAAAAAAAAUCUGUCCCCAUCUUUCUUGUAAAUCCCCUUCAAGUAGUGAGAGGUGGCAGUAACAUCUCCUUGGCGAAUCUUCUUCUCUGGGCAAAACAAUUCCAUCUGUCUCAGCCUUUCGUCAUAGCUGAGGUGCUCCAGCUCUCUGAUUGUUCUUGUCGCUCUUCUCUGGACCCACUGCAACCGGUUCACAUCUUUCCUGUACCAAGGACUUGAGAGCUGGACGGAGCACUCCACGUGAGGUCUCACAAGAGCUCAGUGGAGGGGCAGAAUCACCUCUGUCACCUGCUGCCCACACUGCUUUUGAUGCAGCCCAGGACAUGGCUGGCUCCUGAGCUGUCAGCACACAUGGCCAGGACAUGUCCAGCCUCUCAUACACCAGCACCUCCAAGUCCUUCUCAGCAGAGUUUCUCUUGGUCUUUUCAUUAGAAUUAUGUCAGCCCAAGCCACUCAUGAAGCUUGUCCAGGCCCCAGUCUUCAGGUGUGGCAACUGCAUCACUCAGUUUGGUGUCAUCUGCAAACUUGCUGAGUUAAAUUUGAAAUGCAAAGAAAUUUAAAUUUGUCUCUACUUCUUUGGACUUUCAAAAUCUCAAUUGAAAAAGCUGCAAAUUUGGAGGCUUUUUCAAUUUUAUCCUAGGAAUGUUGAUUCUGUUGUAUUUAUACUACUAAACGGCUAGACUCUGUGCUCUAUAAAGUCUGUUCAAUUAUAUUACCAUUCAUUCACAAAUAGAGCAUGCAUGCUGCCUUUGAGCUAAAACAUUCCUUCUGUACCUCUACUAUUCUUUUUCAGAAUAUUUUAUUGUCAACAGCAUACAUACCCUGCACAUUUUUAAACUUACAACCAAACGCUAUUACUGUUGUAGUAAACAAACUUUUUUUACAUUAAAGUAUUUAAUUAGCAAAACAAUCAUUAUUAUCAAUGUAACAAACUGAAAAAUGCAGCAACUCGAUACAAGACUGAGGUAACAAAAUACUUUGCCAAAAACCUAGAUUCCAACACCAGAGUUCUUACAGGUGAGACAGUUCACAAGAAUUAUAGAAAGAAUCCUUUACAGAAAUGGCAUGCAGUGGACUGCUGGAAAACACAGCCAAAAAUAGUGCAACAGUUUCCACACAAAACAAACCAAAAUGUUGAAAUUGAUUAACAUUACAGUGUGACAAGUCAGUCUCACUUUGAAAACUAGCUUCUUUGCCUCAUUUUAGUGCUAUUUGGAAAAACAAGCAUUUUGGCACUGAAUUACAUUAAAAUUCCUUAAAUAAAUGAAAAUUAAUAAUGAAUAAUUAAAUAAUAAAAAUAAAAAUAAUUAAAUAAAUUAAAUAAUACAUUAAAUAAACUAAUGAUAUUACCUAUAGUUAUUAUAUCUUCACAAUUCUGAAAAUGGUAAUUAUGUUAUAAUGUUUACUUUUACAUAACUAUUGUAGCUGUUCUCUUUGAUGGAGGAAAACUUGUAUGGUUUGUGAUUUUUUUUUUUUGUGGAAAUGCUGUAACAAUCAGUAGUGACAGGCAACCUAUUGUAUUUCAAUAGCAGCUUUCAAUUACCCAUAGAAGUACCUGGUAAUUGCAAAUCGUACCAAAUGGCAUCAUAACACCUCUAAUCAGCAGCUACGAACUGUUUAAUACUUAAAGACUAAUUUAAAAUUGGUUUAAGAUGUUUUACUUGUAUUAUUUCACUGCUGUCAUUAUUCUUUCACUGCCAUCAAUCUGAAUUUCUCAAUACUCUGCAGCAAUUUCACAAUGUGCUAUAUGGAAAAGAUGUUUGAUCUCAUUGACGACUAAUCACAAAAAUCCACAGGUGUAGAAUAAUUCAGAUUACAUCACAGCCUAACAGUCUGAAGUCAUUUACUUCUGACAGGAUGUUACCACAUUCAAAAAGCUUCUAUACUCUCUCUAAUGGUGUUCGAUGCCCUGCCCUUGCAGAUAACCAUGUAUUUCCUAGUUCAAAGUUGUCUUAAGUUAGCAAAGAAAGAGAAAAACAAUACAAAUAUAUUUUUAAUUACCACUCUUUUCACAGAGUUCCUCAGUUAUCAAAUAAAUUUUGUCAACUUUACAUACGCUUUCCCAUGUCCCAGGAUCUAAAUGCAGUUGUCAUCAGGAACUGUUUUUCUUGAAAACCUGGUAUGUAUUAGGCUUUCAGGAUUGUAACAUGAACUCUUAAAAGAACAAUAAAUUUACUUUUGACCUUCAUUUAACAAUACAGUUGGCUUUUUCUCCUUGUUGUUAGAGAAGUUUCAAAAUUAAAAUGUAGAAAAUCAUGGAAGUCCACAGAAUACAUACUGCUAAUGCCAGGGAGCUUGUUCUAGUAGAGGUUCUGUUCACUUAAACUGACUUUCAUGGUGUUCCUGGUUUGUAAGUUAGAGGCUGACUUGCCAAUUUCUCCUUUAUGCAAUCUUAGGAAAGUCAGAAGAGGCUUUCUGGUGAUUGAUGAAGUCUGAAUAAUGAUGCUAUAUCGCAAAAGAGUUUCAAAAAGAAAACGUGAUGAAUUUAACAUAUGAACAGAAAACGAUUCUGACUGCAGGAGUGCCAGGGUACAGCAGGAAGACAGCACAAAGAGAGUUCCUUUGGAGGAGAAGGUCCAGUUACACUUCUUUUGUUUGUUCAUUUAUUCUCUGGAUAUUGAUUUGGAGACUUCUUUGUACUUGCUCCACUGUUAGACAGUCUUUCACUGCCACCAUGAUUUUAUAGUAGCAGUACCGUCUAGCAGUACUAAUGUCCUGAAGUCACAACACAUACUGGAAUUGAGUGGAGCCACCUCAUCCACAGAAGGACAGAACAGAAACAAUGAUAUGGAGUCAUUUUGAGGAGCCAGGACCAUGUGAGAUAAAACACCUGAUUACCUGCUUUCCUGUGCUAAGGGGUUUGAACUGAACAAUGUUCAGACUGAACCAAAACACCAAAUUUAUAAGCAAUUAUGCCACUGGUAAAAGAAUGAAAGACAAACUUCAGCACAACAUAAACGGCCUUAAAUCUAUUACCAGUGUAUUCCUGAGCAAAACAA